CCCUUAGAUGUUCUGGGCCGCACGCGCGCUACACUGAUGCAUUCAACGAGUUUUACCUUGGCCGAGAGGCCUGGGCAAUCUUUUAAACCUGCAUCGUGAUAGGGAUAGAUUAUUGCAAUUAUUAAUCUUGAAUGAGGAAUUCCUAGUAAACGCAAAUCAUCAAUUUGCAUUGAUUACGUCCCUGCCCUUUGUACACACCGCCCGUCGCACCUACCGAUUGAAUGGUCCGGUGAAAUCUCGGGAUUGUGGCCAGUUCACUUUAUUGGGAGUUGGCUGCGAGAACUUGCUUAAACCUUAUCAUUUAGAGGAAGGUGAAGUCGUAACA
rnacentral:rRNA from 1 species